CAUGUGGUUUAAUUCGAUACUACGCGCAAAACCUUACCAGCCCUUGACAUAUGAACAACAAAACCUGUCCUUAACGGGAUGGUACUGACUUUCAUACAGGUGCUGCAUGGCUGUCGUCAGCUCGUGUCGUGAGAUGUUUGGUCAAGUCCUAUAACGAGCGAAACCCUCGUUUUGUGUUGCUGAGACAUGCGCCUAAGGAGAAAGUCUUUGCAACCGAAGUGAGCCGAGGAGCCGAGUGACGUGCCAGCGCUACUAAUUGAGUGCCAGCACGUAGCUGUGCUGUCAGUAAGAAGGGAGCCGGCGCCUUUCGAAGCACUUUGACGUGUGAACCGCGAGAACCAAGCAAGUCCUUCCGCGCCAAUUAUUGGUAAGACGCACGCGCCUGAGCGCUAGCUGAUCCCUUUACGGCAUAAGUGGCACCGUUGCGCGUUAGCACGCGCAGUAGUUUGAUUGCUGCUAGCGCGAAAGCCGUUGCGCGGGAGCGCGCAACUAGGUUGCGCGCUAGCGCGCAACGGCUUUCCCUUAUGCCGUAAAUGGUGCUUGAGCGCCUUGCGCGAUACGGCUUUUUGGCCGUAUCUUGCAGGUGACGACGACGUCGAGUUGGCGGCGGAGGAAGACUCGGCAUUCAGGCGAGCCGCCCGGUGGUGUGGUACGUAGUGGGUUUAGUACGCCCCGCCAAAACGGCUCCGAAACAAACAAAAAGGUGCGUGCCGCACUCACGAGGGACUGCCAGUGAUAUACUGGAGGAAGGUGGGGAUGACGUCAAGUCCGCAUGGCCCUUAUGGGCUGGGCCACACACGUGCUACAAUGGCAAUUACAAUGGGAAGCAAGGCUGUAAGGCGGAGCGAAUCCGGAAAGAUUGCCUCAGUUCGGAUUGUUCUCUGCAACUCGGGAACAUGAAGUUGGAAUCGCUAGUAAUCGCGGAUCAGCAUGCCGCGGUGAAUAUGUACCCGGGCCCUGUACACACCGCCCGUCACACCCUGGGAAUUGGUUUCGCCCGAAGCAUCGGACCAAUGAUCACCCAUUCCUUGUGUGUACCACUAGUGCCACAAAGGCUUUUGGUGGUCUUAUUGGCGCAUACCACGGUGGGGUCUUCGACUGGGGUGAAGUCGUAACAAGGUAGCCGUACUGGAAGGUGCGGCUG
rnacentral:rRNA from 1 species